rnacentral:hammerhead_ribozyme from 1 species
GCACUGCUGAGGAGUCCCACAAUAGGACGAAACGGCCGUUCAAUGU